GACGAACGCUGGCGGCGUGCCUAACACAUGCAAGUCGAACGGAGAGGACAUGAAGUAUUUCGGUACGGAAUGCUCUCUUAGUGGCGAACGGGUGAGUAAUACGUGGGCAACCUGCCCCAGACUGGGGGAUAACAUUGUGAAAACAGUGCUAAUACCGCAUGACAGGGUUCCGGGCAUCCGGGACCCUUGAAAGGAGAAAUCCGGUCAGGGAUGGGCCCGCGUCCAAUUAGCUAGUUGGCGGGGUAACGGCCCACCAAGGCGACGAUUGGUAGCCGAACUGAGAGGUUGAUCGGCCACAUUGGGACUGAGACACGGCCCAGACUCCUACGGGAGGCAGCAGUGGGGAAUAUUGGGCAAUGGGCGAAAGCCUGACCCAGCGACGCCGCGUGAAGGAUGAAGGUCUUCGGAUUGUAAACUUCUUUGAUCAGGGAAGAAGAAAUGACGGUACCUGAAAACAAGCCACGGCUAACUACGUG
rnacentral:rRNA from 1 species